CAGCUCAGGAAAGAAAAAAUAUAAUUAU
rnacentral:sRNA from 1 species